UUGGCAUAGUGGUUAAGCAUUUGGCUGCUAACCAAAAUGUUGGCAGUUCAAAUCCACCA
rfam:Loxodonta africana unplaced genomic scaffold scaffold_21, whole genome shotgun sequence.